AUUUGCUCAACUCAAAGUCUGCCAGCAGGUCCAGAAAGUGGAGAGAGAUUCCUGGAUCCAUUUCCUGCCCUCAAGGAGACUGGGAUUUGGUUCCUCCCUUCCCUAGUUAAAAGUGAGACAGAGUGCCUACAAGGAUUGACUCUCCCACUCUGCUAACCAGCUGGAGGAAAGUGGGGACAAUGGCAAAGGGAAUAAAUAGCCUCCCCAAAGCCUGGAUUCAUGAUUGACUGUUGAGAGAGGGGAAUCACUAGAAACUACUACUACAGAAGCAGUCAUAAUACCAUGAAGACUUCCCAAGGAAUUUAUCCCAGUGAGUUCAAGCUGCAUGAAGAUUUCACCGAACUGCCAAAGGGCUUUUUCAACUAAACCAGAAACUGAAGACAGUGUCUGCUACAGCCAAGAAGUAAAGAAACAUCCUGUGGAGACUCCAAGACCAAGAGAGCAGUGA
rnacentral:lncRNA from 1 species